rnacentral:sRNA from 1 species
UGCGGCGCCCGCUGGCCGGGCUGGCUGCGGCCGCCCUGGGCCGGGCCCCACCGGACGGCAUGUCGGGCCCCAGGCCUGUGGUGCUGAGCGGGCCUUCGGGAGCUGGGAAGAGCACCCUGCUGAAGAGGCUGCUCCAGGAGCACAGCGGCAUCUUUGGCUUCAGCGUGUCCCAUACCACGAGGAACCCGAGGCCCGGCGAGGAGAACGGCAAAGAUUACUACUUUGUAACCAGGGAGGUGAUGCAGCGUGACAUAGCAGCCGGCGACUUCAUCGAGCAUGCCGAGUUCUCGGGGAACCUGUAUGGCACGAGGAGCAGCGGCUGCGGCAGCGCAACACUGAAACGGAGGAGAGCCUGGUGAAGCGGCUGGCUGCUGCCCAGGCCGACAUGGAGAGCAGCAAGGAGCCCGGCCUGUUUGAUGUGGUCAUCAUUAACGACAGCCUGGACCAGGCCUACGCAGAGCUGAAGGAGGCGCUCUCUGAGGAAAUCAAGAAAGCUCAAAGGACCGGCGCCUGAGGCUUGCUGUCUGUUCUUGGCACCCCGGGCCCAUACAGGACCAGGGCAGCAGCACUGAGCCACCCCCUUGGCAGGCGAUACGGCAGCUCUGCGCCCUUGGCCAGCAUGUGGAGUGGAGGGGAUGCUGCCCCUGUGGUUGGAACAUCCUGGGGUGACCCCCGACCUAGCCUCGCUGGGCUG